UCCCAAUUGCUUUAUGGUUAUGGGGAGAGAGGCUCGCAGUAGAGCAAAAGCAAAAAAACGCGAGAUGCAGUUUGGAGGAAGCGGUACACCAACUAACGGAAAGCAUCUUCAACAAAACUUCUUCCUCUUUUUUGUAGGCGGAGACGAGCACACACACAUAUACACGCAGAUCGUGACGACCAGAAUCAUAUCUACCACCCACGGCCGUCCGCAGGAUCUCGCCGGCCCAAAUCGGGAAUCGGCAGGGUUCAAUCAUACGCGCGAUCGACUCCAAACGCAGCUGCCGCCAAUUGGCCGAUUCUGACCGUCCGACUAAUGGUCCGACACGAUGCGUCGAUGCGUCGUGCAGUCUAGCGCUCUACACAACCGCCUGCCGAUCCGAACGGUCGGUUACACAGAAGAUGCGACCAAGAGAAUGCGUUCCCACUUCGCUAUGGCGGGGGCGAGCGCACUGAAUGAUUCUUAAUUUCCGAUUAUGCUACAAAUUGACCUACGCGGGCAGUGUGUGCGCUUUCGCCAUUCUUGAGCAUAUGCGGGAUGCACCUAUGUGUGCAUGUCUAUGGCCACCUGUGACUGCAAAACACGCACGCGCUGGUGCGAGCAUCCACUGCGCCACUAUUCCCAUAGAGCGCCGGACAAGCCGGUGCCGAUGCACCGUUCUCCAUUUGCGGGCAAGAUGGAUGCACCGAUGUAGAUUGUAGCUUAACAAAUAAUAAUUAAAUUAAUUAGUUAUUAAAUUAUACUUUUCACCCCCGGCGGGCUUCUGUGGCUCUGUGUGGCGAGCGUUGGCCGGCUUUGCUGGGUCUGAUAAAGCGCCGUAAAACCGUUGUGAGGUAUGCCACGAUGCAUGCUUCUCUGCAUUGCCGGCACAGUGACUUACGCGCUCGCCCGAUCAACCCACAGCAAACGGGACGAGUUGUGCUGUGUGGACGUCAUCCUGCGGUCAAUUGAUUGUAACGGCAUGUAUCGGCCAGUGCCAGUGGAGAUGAAGGAGAUGGACCAUGAAAAAGCGUUCCACACACCCCCACGUCUAGCGGACGGGCCACGGUUGGAAAAGAAAUGAGUUUUUCCUUCAUAAUUAAUUAAAGGCAGCGUCUUGGGGGGUUGAGGUGUGUGCGCAUUUCCAGUGCUGCAAGACAACGAGGAAUGAAUCCGUCCAGAAAGAGAGACGGAGCGAGAUAGAGAACGUACAAGAGAAGCUUACGUGUUGUUUGAUCGACAGUUAAAACGCAGCAGAAGUGUAGCAUCAUCAUCAGCAUCGUCGUCGUCAUCGUGGCUGGCAGACGAUAAGGUAAUACGCGUGGUGCAACGCUCGCACAGACAACGAGCUAAUCAGCCUUACCGGCAUCGGUUAGUCAGUCAGUCAGUCAGUCAGUCAGUCGGGCCAAUCGAGCUGUGGAUGCUUCUUCCCCCGUAGCACCCGCCUUAAUUGGAUUAAUAAUAGAGCCGCAGGGCGUCGUAAGCCAGUAAGCCUGCCCACUGUUCUAAUUAUUUUAAUUUUCGAUUGUUUGAUGCGAGCUGCUUCUGCUGCCCGCGCUACCGCGUUGUGCAGCAAUUGAUGGUGCUGCGUGCGCCCCGACCGGGGGAAGCCUACCGUAUAUUCCUAAUUUUCCGCGUGUCGAUCGAUUAUGGGUCGAUGUGAUUGACUCUAUCGUGAAGCGAAGAAUAGAAGGAAAGCUCUCUGUUUCCUUCCCCACAUCCAUACCUUUUGUAUGGUGCAUGCAAUGUAACAAACAAUAAGCGCUUCAGUUACAACUGUACAGCCGGCAGAGACGCUGGCUUUGUGUGCGCCUGAUUGGGGUGUAGUGUCCAGAAAGUGUGCCAUCGACGUCGUUCCGACGUUCCACACCAAAUGAAGCAAUAAAAUGAUUAUUAAUUUCGUACACAAUACACAAAAGCGCUCGCAGAACGAGAAAAAAACAACUUCAACUUCUAGCAUUAAACAUAAGCCGCGAAACAGCAUACACCAAAAAAAAAAAAGAAACACUCUUUUGUGCUUUAUAGGAGAUAUCGGAAGGAUCACGAGCCAGCGAGAUCUAGACAGUGAAAGUCGCUGUCUUUGCAGGAAUGUCUUUCAUUUUCCAAUUCCCACAGCCCUGAAUGCUCCAAUCGGGCGGGAGGCUGAGAUUUUCGCACGAAUGGAAUACACGGCACAGUGUUUCGGACAAAAUUUUCCCCGCAUGAUGCAAAAUUAUGAUCCGUGAUCGUAAUAUUAUAAAUUCUUAAGAAGGUGUGGGUUAUAAAAUCAUUGAAAAAAAAUUAAAA